AAAUUGAAGAGUUUGAUCAUGGCUCAGAUUGAACGCUGGCGGCAGGCCUAACACAUGCAAGUCGAACGGUAACAGGAAGAAGCUUGCUUCUUUGCUGACGAGUGGCGGACGGGUGAGUAAUGUCUGGGAAACUGCCUGAUGGAGGGGGAUAACUACUGGAAACGGUAGCUAAUACCGCAUAACGUCGCAAGACCAAAGAGGGGGACCUU
rnacentral:rRNA from 2 species